GGCUAUGGUACCACUAAAUGUACAUAGGUACGUUUGACUCGUAAUUUUCAACCAAAAUCCAAACCUCAGAGUGAGCUCUAAUAUGUAGUCUGCUCCGAGUCUAACUCUAUCCACCACUCAAUCUCAAUUCGCUGAAUGAUUUCCCCAAAACCACCACUCUAUCGUCGCCCCACUCCACAGGCACACGUUCAUACAUAGUACGCCCGCUCAAAGCGGCGACUCCAUGGCGAGGCAACAAACAAACAAACAAACAAGCCCGCAGACAAACAGACAGACUGACAAACAGACAAACAGACGCCGUAGAAAUUCACACUCAGUUGAAACGGAACGAAAUCGGGGGCAGCGCGAUAAAUCUCAUGGGCUAGUGGCUGCGAAGCCUGGGCGCCUGUUCGUUAGAGUCCAUGAAUCGAAAUUGUGUGGCUCAAGUGACGAUGUGGUCUUUUUUUCGACUUCGUUCGCCCGUCCGAUGCCUUAAUUCGAAAAUUAGUGUUGGUUGCGUUGCAGUCGCUUCAAUUGACGAGAGCGAUAUUCGCAUGAGAAGAUGCUUUCAGACUGCGAAAUAACUUGUUUUUAAUAUCUGGUGGUAGGACAUUUCUGGAAAACAAACACAUAUAUGUGCGUACAUGUACAUACAUAUGUACUUGCUGCUCAAAAGUUGAGUGUACGGGUUCUUUCUUUCGUCUUUUUCGCUCCGCCAGCGCUUCCGAUUCGAACAACUAGAGCAGUGAGCAGCAUCAUUUAGAUUUAGACCGGAAUUGUAACAGGCGCACAGCGCCGAUAGACCGGUUAACCGACUCGUCGCGAUUAUUCUCGCCCGCUAGCUGUCCCACUCUGGCGAAGCUCGCGUUGUCCCUCUUGCACGCGGUGAGCUUUUGCUUGGAGCUUCCGGUUGAGCGGAACUUUCAAAGGUAAGUUUUGAAACCAACCAUUCGAAUUUGGCGGUCUUUCAAGCUCCUGUUAAUAGGAGAAUUCAUUUUAAUUGAAUUUCGAACCGAUAAAUUAACUUAUUGCAAUUUGGUGUCCUUCAAUUACAACGGGCAUGCUCUUCCGCAAUAUGUUUUAGCAGCAUUUUAAUCCGAGAUCAAAUCAACAAAAGAAACAAAGUUCUUAUUUAGAAACUGUGUAGUGCGGCAGUCUAUUUCGGCAGCUGACCGGGCAUCUGGAGGAAACACUAUCUAGACGGGAUUUUUUUGGUACCAACUAAAACGGACGAUGAAACCAAGUCAAUUGCUGAUCAUCACCUUAACUAUCAAAAAAAUGAUUGACAACACAAUCCAAGCUGAUAAGAUGUAUGUACAUAUGUAUGUAUAUACCCUUCGAAUGCGCUGUACCGCAAAGCUCUGCAAAUCCACUUGUGUAAACUGUGCCCUUGGAGUACAUGAGUGACGGGUAUAGUCAGCAGUAGUAUCUGUGUCAACGAUUUGAAAUCCCAAUCCUACUUCAUUUGAAACCUAUCUGCCUUGACUCUCUGUCAACGUUGGAUGCAACACAGAAUAUUAACAACAAUAUCUGCUAUAUGGGACUCUUAUUAUGUACACCCCAAAAAUCCGACUACUGUGGGUAGAUCUAUGGCUAGACUUAGAGAUCAGACGCAAUAAGUAUGCUGAUGCCGCAGCUAAGGAAGCAACUACUGCGCCACUAAAACCAAAUAUUCUACGUCAACCGCAACGAUAUAAGCAAAUAUUGUAUAACUAUAACUCUCUGACAAAUCUUUUCUAGCUCCCCUCCCCGUUGCUUAAAACUUAAACCUUCAGCUACUGUGUGUAAUAAAUAAAUAAAUUAUA